rnacentral:rRNA from 1 species
UUGCUAGUUGCUGACGAGUGGCGGACGGGUGAGUAAUGCUUGGGAAUUUGCCUUUGGGAGGGGGAUAACCACUGGAAACGGUGGCUAAUACCGCAUAACGUCUACGGACCAAAGGGGGCUUUUAGCUCCCACCUAUAGAGAAGCCCAAGUGAGAUUAGCUAGUUGGUGAGGUAAAGGCUCACCAAGGCGACGAUCUCUAGCUGUUCUGAGAGGAAGAUCAGCCACACUGGAACUGAGACACGGUCCAGACUCCUACGGGAGGCAGCAGUGGGGAAUAUUGCACAAUGGGGGAAACCCUGAUGCAGCCAUGCCGCGUGUGUGAAGAAGGCCUUCGGGUUGUAAAGCACUUUCAGUUGUGAGGAAAGGUUAGUAGUUAAUACCUGCUAGCUGUGACGUUAGCAACAGAAGAAGCACCGGCUAACUCCGUGCCAGCAGCCGCGGUAAUACGGAGGGUGCAAGCGUUAAUCGGAAUUACUGGGCGUAAAGCGCACGCAGGCGGUUUGUUAAGCUAGAUGUGAAAGCCCCGGGCUCAACCUGGGAUGGUCAUUUAGAACUGGCAGACUAGAGUUUUGGAGAGGGGAGUGGAAUUCCAGGUGUAGCGGUGAAAUGCGUAGAUAUCUGGAGGAACAUCAGUGGCGAAGGCGACUCUCUGGCCAAAGACUGACGCUCAUGUGCGAAAGUGUGGGUAGCGAACAGGAUUAGAUACCCUGGUAGUCCACACCGUAAACGCUGUCUACUAGCUGUUUGUGAAUUUAAUUCGUGAGUAGCGAAGCUAACGCGCUAAGUAGACCGCCUGGGGAGUACGGCCGCAAGGUUAAAACUCAAAUGAAUUGACGGGGGCCCGCACAAGCGGUGGAGCAUGUGGUUUAAUUCGAUGCAACGCGAAGAACCUUACCUACACUUGACAUGCAGAGAACUUUCCAGAGAUGGAUUGGUGCCUUCGGGAACUCUGACA